UUUAAUUAACCGCAACCCUUGAAAAGGGUUACCUGCAUUUUCCUGUAUAUCGGUCCAGUGGACACAACUUGGGUGCAGGAAAACAACUGUAACGCUCCCUACAAUGAUGCAGAGAGUGAACCAGACUCUGAGGAGAACGAGGAGAGCCUUGCUUUUUUGGAGUUGGGGGUUCCCUUUAUUAGCUACCAUCUUUCAGACAGAGGGGUUACAGACAUCGGCCUGAAGCUGCGUGUUCAGGCGUUCUCUACUCUGCUCGCCAGUAUCCACAACCAGAACUUCUCGUUAUUGGUUGGAAAGAAGAUUGUGAUGCGUCUGACAGCAGCUAACAACCAGAGAGCCCAGGACCAAAGGACCAGUGUAAAAUCCCUCAUCCCUCAAUACUCAUCCCUUUAUAGCCUAUCCCUCAGUACUUUAUCCCGAUCCCCAUCACUUUAUUCCUUUCGGUAGCAUAAGGAGCAUAUACAGAUGACAGCUGUAAAUAGAAUUGUUUGUAAAUUGUUAUUACAUAAUGCGUAUAUAGUUUAUUUUAAUAAAGGUUUUCA